UUUUGGUGAUUAGAUCUAAUAUGGGCAGAUCUUCCCCCUCAACUUUUUUUUUUUUUUAAAUAUAUUUUAUUUGAUCAUUUCCAAGCAUUAUUCGUUAAAGACAUAGAUCAUUUUCUUUUCCUCCCCCCCACCCCCCAUAGCCGAGGCGUAAGUCCACUGGGCAUUAGAUGUUUUCUUGAUUUGAACCCAUUGCUUUGUUGAUAGUAUUUGCAUUAGAGUGUUCAUUUAAAGUCUAUCCUCUGUCAUGUCCCCUCAACCUCUGUAUUCAGGCAGUUGCUUUUUCUCGGUGUUUCCACUCCCUUAGUUUAUCCUUUGCUUAUGAAUGGUGUUUUUUUUCUCCUGGAUCCCUGAAAGUUGUUCAGGGACAUUACACCGCCCCUAAUGGAGAAGUCCAUUACGUUCGUUUAUCCUUUGCUUAUGAAUGGUGUUUUUUUUUCUCCUGGAUCCCUGAAAGUUGUUCAGGGACAUUACACCGCCCCUAAUGGAGAAGUCCAUUACGUUCGAUUAUACCACAGUGUAUUAGUCUCUGUGUACAAUGUUCUCCUGGUUCUGCUCCUCUCGCUCUGCAUCACUUCCUGGAGGUUGUUCCAGUCUCCAUGGAACUUCUCCACUUUAUUAUUCCUUUGAGCACAAUAGUAUUCCAUCACCAACAUAUACCACAGUUUGUUCAGCCAUUCCCCAAUUGAUGGGCAUUCCCUCGUUUUCCAGUUUUGGGCCACCACAAAGAGCGCAGCUAUGAAUAUUUUUGUACAAGUCUUUGUGUCCAUUAUCUCUUUGGGGUACAGACCCAGCAGUGCUAUGGCUGGGUCAAAGGGUAGAUAUUCUUUUGUCGCCCUUUGGGCAUAGUUCCAAAUUGCCCUCCAGAAUGGUUGGAUCAGUUCACAACUCCACCAGCAAUGAAUUAAUGUCCCUACUUUGCCACAUCCCCUCCAGCAUUCAUUACUUUCCUUUGCUGUUAUGUUAGCCAAUCUGCUAGGUGUGAGGUGAUACCUCAGAGUUGUUUUGAUUUGCAUCUCUCUGAUUAUAAGAGAUGUAGAACACUUCUUCAUGUGCUUGUUAAUAGUUUUGAUUUCUUUAUCUGAGAACUGCCUAUCCAUUUCCCUUGCCCAUUUAUCAAUUGGAGAAUGGCUUGAUUUUUUGUACAAUUGAUUUAGCUCAUUAUAAAUAUGAGUAAUUAAACCUUUGUCAGAGGUUUCUAUGAAGAUUUUUUCCCAAUUUGUUGUUUCCCUUCUGAUUUUAGUUAUAUUGGUUUUGUUUGUACAAAAGCUUUUUAGUUUGAUGUAGUCAAAAUUAUUUAUUUUACAUUUUGUGAUUCUUUCUAUAUCUUGCUUGGUUUUAAAGCCUUUCCCCUCCCAAAGGUCUGACAUGUAUACUAUUCUGUGUUUACCCAAUUUACUUAUGGUUUCCUUCUUUAUGUUUAAGUCACUCACCCAUUUUGAAUUUAUCUUGGUGUAGGGUGUGAGGUGUUGAUCUAUUCCUAGUCUCUCCCACACUGUCUUCCAAUUUUCCCAGCAGUUUUUAUCGAAUAGUGGAUUUUUGUCCCAAAAGCUGGGAUCUUUGGGUUUAUCGUAUACUGUCUUGCUGAGGUCGUUUUCCCCCAGUCUAUUCCACUGAUCUUCCUUUCUGU
rnacentral:lncRNA from 1 species